rnacentral:snoRNA from 1 species
UCUGCACACUGUUAGAGCUUGGGAUAUAGGCCAUGCAAUGGUCAAUGAUCUCCUGAGUGUAGGAUGUGUGCUAUAGUAACUUGGCAGGUUUCUGAUAAUGUCACAUGGAUCUGUGGCAUUUGGGUAAUCUUUGCCACAUAU